rnacentral:rRNA from 1 species
GUGGGGAAUCUUCCGCAAUGGACGAAAGUCUGACGGAGCGACGCCGCGUGAGUGAAGAAGGCCUUCGGGUCGUAAAGCUCUGUCAUCAGGGACGAACGGCCGGUGGAGUGGAAAGCCACCGGAUUGACGGUACCUGAGAAGGAAGCCACGGCUAACUACGUGCCAGCAGCCGCGGUAAUACGUAGGUGGCAAGCGUUGUCCGGAAUUAUUGGGCGUAAAGCGCGCGCAGGUGGGAUCUUAAGUCCAUUUUUAAAGUUCGGAGCUCAACUCCGUGAUGGGAUGGAAACUGGGAUUCUUGAGUACCGGAGAGGAAAGUGGAAUUCCCCGUGUAGCGGUGAAAUGUGUAGAUAUGGGGAGGAACACCAGUGGCGAAGGCGGCUUUCUGGACGGUGUCUGACACUGAGGCGCGAAAGCCAGGGGAGCGAACGGGAUUAGAAACCCGGGUAGUCC